GGGCGCCUACGGGAGGCAGCAGUGAGGAAUAUUGGUCAAUGGACGAAAGUCUGAACCAGCCAUGCCGCGUGCAGGAAGACGGCUCUAUGAGUUGUAAACUGCUUUUGUACAAGGGUAAACCUGAAUACGUGUAUUCAGCUGAAAGUACUGUACGAAUAGGGAUCGGCUAACUCCGUGCCAGCAGCCGCGGUAAUACGGAGGAUCCAAGCGUUAUCCGGAUUUAUUGGGUUUAAAGGGUGCGUAGGCGGAUUGAUAAGUUAGAGGUGAAAUGUCCGGGCUCAACCCGGGAACUGCCUCUAAUACUG
rnacentral:rRNA from 1 species